rnacentral:rRNA from 1 species
UACCUGCAGCUCGAGUGGUAACCGCUAUUAUUGGGCCUAAAGCGUCCGUAGCCGGUUUGGUAAAUAUCUGGGUAAAUCGUGAGGCUUAACUUCACGAAUUUCGGAUAGACUGCCAGACUUGGGAUCGGGGGAGGUCAGAGGUACUCCAGGGGUAGCGGUGAAAUGUUGUAAUCCUUGGAGGACCACCGGUAGCGAAGGCGUCUGACUAGAACGAGUCCGACGGUGAGGGUCGAAGCCCUGGGGCGCAAACCGGAUUAGAUACCCGGGUAGUCCAGGGUGUAAACGAUGUGGGCUUUGUAUUGGAGGUCCCACGUGGGCGUCCAGUGCAGAAGAGAAGUUGUUAAGCCCACCGCCUGGGAAGUACGGUCGCAAGGCUGAAACUUAAAGGAAUUGGCGGGGGAGCACAGCAACGGGAGGAGCGUGCGGUUU